GACGUAGGGGGCGAGCGUUGUCCGGAUUCAUUGGGCGUAAAGAGCGCGCAGGCGGCUUGGUAAGUCGGAUGUGAAAACCCGAGGCUCAACCUCGGGCGUGCAUCCGAAACUGCUCGGCUAGAGGUAGGUAGGGGAGAUCGGAAUUCCUGGUGUAGCGGUGAAAUGCGUAGAUAUUGGGAGGAACACCAGUGGCGAAGGCGGUCCCCUGGGCCGGAACUGACGCUGAGGCGCGAAAGCGUGGGUAGCAAACGGG
rnacentral:rRNA from 1 species